CCUACGGGUGGCAGCAGUGGGGGAUAUUGCACAAUGGGGGAAACUCUGAUGCAGCGACGCCGCGUGUGGGAAGACGGUCCUCUGGAUUGUAAACCACUGUCUCCAGGGACGAAGAUGAGGGUACCUGGGGAGGAAGCUCCGGCUAACUACGUGCAAGCAGCCGCGGUAAUACGUAGGGAGCGAGGGUUGUCCGGAGUUACUGGGUGUAAAGGGAGCGUAGGCGGGGAUGAAAGUUGGGUGUCAAUACUACCGGCUCAACUGGUAGUCGCCCUCAAAACUGCAGGUCUUGAGUGAAGUAGAGGCAGGCGGAAUUCCUAGUGUAGCGGUGAAAUGCGUAGAUAUUAGGAGGAACACCAGUGGCGAAGGCGGCCUGCUGGGCUUUUACUGACGCUGAGGCUCGAAAGUGUGGGGAGCAAACAGGAUUAGAUACCCCAGUAGUC
rnacentral:rRNA from 1 species